GUGACACACAGAAGGAUAUUUCAGAGGAGAGUGAAUGCAUGCAAACAUAAGUCUGAAGAUGGAGAAAUCAACCAGUGUAUUGAUCAUUCUUAUUAUGACUACAGGAAUGGUAUCUGGAGAUAGUGUGACUCCUGACAAGGAGGAAUAUACCCCCACUGAGGGAUCAUCAGUGUCUCUGAGAUGUACAUAUGAAACAAGCAGCAAUUAUAUUUCCCUUUACUGGUACAGGCAUUAUCCAAACCAGGCUCCUCAGUUUCUACUGUAUAAAGGUGCCAGAUCAAGGAGCAUUGAACACAUCCCUGAUAAGAGAUAUAAAUCCACAACAUCCCGGGAAUCAACUGAACUGGUGAUAACAAGCCUAACCCUGGCAGACACAGCUCUCUACUACUGUGCUCUUGACACGGGUGCAGAAGAGAAUGUAGCACAGUCAACAGAAGAGGGAGCUGCCAGAGCCGCCCGUCAGUCAGGAGCUGCCAGAUCCGCCCUUCACUCCGGCGCUAGUGCACAGGAGACCAUGUUCAACAGCAACCAGGAGGUGUGA